GGAAAAAUGCAAGUGACACGGACAAUAACAACUACAAUAAUCACUUCAUCAUCCUUCAUGAUAUUCUAAGAGAACUUGGAAUUUACCAAAGCGCCAAGGAACCAUUUGAGCAAAGAAAAAGACUGAUUAUUGACAUUAAUAAAAAUAAAAGUGGGCUCGCGGAGAAGCAGCAAGGCUUGAUGACCUGUAUAUUGUCAAAGUUUAUGAGAUUGUGUGUUAAACGGAAUCCUCAACAGCUCACUGCCCGUAUAUUGUCGGUAUCAGCUGGUUAGUAAUACUUAUACUCCCUUUUUCUAACUUUGACCAUCUAAAAAAUGCUAUUGAAAUUUUUUUGCAAUCUGUUAUUCAUUCCUUUUCCGCAAUUGAUCGCUUGAGUUUCACAUUUGCAGAUGAAACAUGUGCGUUCGAUUGGUCUCAAAUGGAACCAGCUCAGGUUGAGGUUCUGAUUUUAAAUCUUCAUACCAAGCAGUACUCAUUACCCGAGUGGAUUGCAAAAAUGAGUAAACUAAGAGUUCUGAUAAUCACAAACUACGAUUUCCAUCCUUCUAAACUGAACAACAUUGAGCUUCUCGGUUCUUUACAGAACCUGGAAAGAAUCAGAUUAGAGCGGAUUUACGUUCCUUCCUUCGGCACAUUGAAGAAUCUGAAAAAACUAUCUCUCUACAUGUGUAACACAAUACUGGCUUUUGAAAAGGGUAGCAUCCUAAUUUCAGAUGCAUUUCCAAAUCUAGAAGAAUUGAACAUUGAUUACUGCAAAGAUUUGGUGGUAUUACCAAUUGGUAUCUGUGAUAUCUUCUUACUAAAGAAGCUCAGGGUUACUAAUUGCCACAAGCUUUCUUCACUUCCCCAAGAUAUUGGAAAAUUGGAGAAUUUGGAACUUCUAAGCCUCAGUUCAUGUACUGACUUGGAAGCUAUACCGACUUCCAUUGGAAAGCUGUUAAAUCUAAAACAUCUUGACAUUUCAAACUGCAUCAGCCUUUCAAGUUUACCUGAGGAAUUUGGUAAUUUGUGCAAUCUAAAGAAUCUGGACAUGGCAAGUUGUGCAAGUAUUGAAUUGCCAUUCUCAGUUGUCAAUCUUCAGAAUUUGAAGACGAUAACCUGCGAUGAAGAGACGGCUGCUACAUGGGAAGAUUUCCAGCAUAUGCUUCCCAAUAUGAAGAUAGAGGUUCUUCAUGUUGAUGUUAACUUAAAUUGGCUUCUUUGAAUGACUUUUGUAUAGCAUAUAAUUAAAAUUCUUUUGUAAUAUUUUGUAAUUUCUUUUUGUAUAAAUACAUGAUUUGUAUUAGCUAUUCUCAAUCAAUAAAUUCAAUUUUUAAUUUUUUUAUCAGCUCAUUCUAUUGAUUUAUUUACAUUCUAAUAAGGUGGUAGUAAAUCCUUCUAUGCUUCUCCAACUCUAAAAAGCUUUUUGUAGUCCUUUGGUUCCCUGUUUCUGAGUUCUUCAAUCAUAGAUCAAAGUCGGCAAGAAGCAGUUGAUCCUCAAAAUUUGUCAAGCAUGGUCUUUGUUGCUUUCCAUUGAAUGGAUCAAAAUAUAUAAAUACACACUCACAGUUCCUUUUGUUGGUGAGUCUUUUACUAAAAUAACGAACAACCACUUCGAGUAUUUCCCCUUCCAAAUUUGCCUAUGGAUUAUAGAUAUUGGUGUCACCUUUUUUCCUUAAAUAUUGAACUCUGUGCAUUGGACCUAUAAAGGUGAUAUCAAUUUUUAUUGCAUAUAAAUAAAUCAAAUUUCAUUUUUAGUCCUUAAAAAGGUGAUUUUUCAACAUAUCCUUAAACUAUCCUUAAAUUUCAUUUUUAUUCCCGACUAAAUUCAAAUUUAUUUAACUUAUCCUUAAACUUUUAAAUUUUUGGUCUUCAAACUAUUUUUCAAUAUAUCAACCAAUUGGUCUUCAGACUUGACAAAAUAUGUGGUGAUUUCAUCUGGAAGUACCUUGUCUAUUACAUAAUGACAUCCAUCUCUAUUUGGUUCGUUCAUGGAAAAUUGGAUGCAUUGAUGAGUGCAAUUUGAAAACAUGUCUUAUCAUAUUUAUUAAAUGAUGUGGCAAUACAUGAUUGGAUGCAAUGUAACAUAGUGUAACACAACUAUAUAAGGAUGACACAUACAAAUUAACGUUACACCCUAUUUAUAGUCGUGCCUUGUCUUAGCUUUUCUGGUCUUGACGUGCAUUACAUGUACAUUGACGAAUCUUCAAAUCUCAAUUUGAGAGUGUCAAACAUAAUUCUCAAUUUGUGCAUAUGUAUGAGAAUAACUUCCCAACUUCUUGGAAAAUUAUCAUAAACUUGUUCAAUGUUAACUUUACUCUAAAUUUUGUCGGUAUGUCCUUAACUUGUUCAAUGUUAUAUAUGUUAAGUCAAGUGUACAAACUUCAAGAGGACUUUAAAGCAGAAUUGCUAGGAAAAAUAUUUGAAAGAGAAUAAAGGAUGUUAACCGCCGUUUGGUUCAAGUUAUGGGAUAAAAAAUCAUGUGACUACAAGAAUAUUGCCAUAUACUACGGAUGUUUAUAGCGACGGAUGGAAAACUGUAGGUAUUGAUGUUUUACCUACGGAAGUGGCCGUAGGUAUAGACAUCUAAAAUAAUAAAAUAAAAAAUAUCAAAAUAAUGCAGCGAGCGCGUAAUGAAAUUGUGGACUGUGAAAAACCCCACCUUUUCCCAACUCUAAAUUGCAAAAUGAUAAAAAUAAAACUAAUAAAAAUAAAAUAGAACCCCAACUGGCCAACUCCAUUCUUCACGUUUGUACCGGGCACACUGUAAUAAUAAGUAAGAGCUAUUGUAAUGAAAUGUGAUUUUAUUUGUAGGGUAUCUUUCAAGGAGAAUUUGUAGGUUUGGGGAGUUAUUUGUGGAAAAUGUAAAGGUAUAAUAGUGGAAAAAAUAACAAAUGUUGUAUUGUUAUUUUACGGUGACAAUUAUACAAAAAGAAAAUUCUAAAGAAACAAUUAUUUUAAGACGGAAGGAGGUAUUUGACUAAAAAUUUGUAUCAAAAUAUAAAUCUCUUUUUUAAAUUAUUAAAUAUAUUUAUCGUUUCCUUUUCAAAUAAACUCCUAAUUGAUACCACUGGGUGUUUUGAAAUAUGAUAACUUACACUUUACUACAUAUACAUAUAUACAAAUGAUAUUUUAGAUAAAUUUAUACAUAAAAUGAACAUAUUAACUACACUACCAAAUAUAUUUUAUAAGAGUUAAAAAAAAAAAAAAAAAUUAUAUAUAAGGAUGGAGGAAGUAUAUGACUUUAACCUUUAAUUUCAUCAAAAGUAGUUCGGAAUUAUUGGAAGACAAGGUCACGAGAUUCAUGCUUGAAUUCCAUAGCAGCAUAGACCAUGGCUUCCCGAUAUUUUUGGUUUCUACAUUUUUUGUGUGAAUUUAUAAUAGGUUUUUUACUCAACUUAUUGAGUUUUAAACACUUAAGUUUCUACUGUUUUUUUUUUUUUUUUUUUGUGUGGGCACAAUACUAUUAAAAACUUUUUAAUUAAUCAACUAAAAUAUAAAACAAGCAUGAGCAUAAGUUUGUUAUAAAAUUAUAAAAACAAUGCUAUCCAACAAAUGGAAGAUGAUUUUCUCAGAUUACUUGAUCGUCUAUAUGAUAAUAAUUGAUGAUUUUAACUUUAUUUUUUUGGAUAAAUCAGGAGAAAGGACAUACAUCAAAAGGUAGCACCGACAUCCUAAUUAGAUUGACAUCCCGAUGAAACUCCAUCCUAAGACGCCAUGCUCAAUUUUUUAUUUUAAAAAGGGGGAAGAGUAUAUAAAAGGGGAGGAGACCAAAAACCCUCAAAACAAGAAAGAAAAAGGAAAAGAAAAUCAACAAACUAGGGGAAUCUGUAAUUAGACAGACCACAUCUGUCGUGAAAGAAAUCAAAGUUCAAUUCUGAAGGUAAAGCCGUCAACCAAACUGAACCAUGUAGUGCAUAUCCCAUAUUAGUCAACUUGUCUUCCCGAUAAAAGUCCCCCAUGAACAACCAAGGCCUCUCUUAUAUUCCAAUAGAAAAAAAUUCAUUGGGCAGAUGGCGAGGGCUCUCGCGUAAAACAGGUUCUAUACGGCGGCUUUCUAUAAAUUGUUGUUUCUUUAAAUUUUCUUUUUUCUUUUUUGACAAGAGGAGAGUGACGGGAGCUUCAUAUCAUGUUGAAUCCUUGGAUUAUUGUGCUGCACAAUACCAACUUCAUGCGUGGCUAAUGAACUUGCAGUCAGAGCCAAGCUAGACACAAUGGCCACAACUGCUGGUACUACAUCAUCUGUCAGCAAGAGUUCAUCUGUCAGCAAGAGUUGUGUGCCUAUGUUGCUGUCCACGGGAACCAAGUCUGCAACAAAGGCAGGGAUUACUGGGAUGGGGUCUGGAACCGAAGUAAUGAGACAAGUUGGUGUAACUGAACCAUCCAACGGGGUUGUAGGGACUGUGUGCACCACAAUAUUGUGUGGAUGCACAACUGUGGAUGAGGGAAUGUCUUUAGAAGAGGCAGUGACUUCCUCGUGCACUACAAUGUUCAGCACUGCCGAAGAGCUCACCUCCCUAACCGAAUCCAAGGUAGCACCAUCAAAAUUCUCAUGCACGUCAACGUGCUCUACAUAAGUCAAAAGCGGAGCAGCAGCGACAAGAAGCUUUGGAACACUUUCCUCCUAAGAUUCCUGAUGCGUUCUCUCUACUUCAAGAGGGUCCACGUCAUCGUGCACAACACCGGUAACCAAUUCCAAAACGGGGAUAGCUGAUUGAGGUAACACGCCCUGAGGAGUUGCAUCAGAAACAUUUUGCAAAGCAAAGCUGAAAGAGCUGCUCGAAACAUCCUUAGGAAGAGCAAUGUUUUUAGUUGUAGACCGUUUUGGUGUAUCUAUGAUAGUAGCUGAAGCUGAAGGGUCUGCAACAUCAACAUAUUGCAUGGUACCUGAAGUAGAAGUACCUCUAUCACUACGGUACUGCCAAGGAGAAGGUUUCUUAGUAAGUGGUUCAGCCGCCAUAGGUUUCUUUCCAUGGUCAGUCACCUUAGUUGCCGGGUGCAACCACUUGCAAGUCGAAACAUUAUGUCCAAUGACAUAACAGUGAUGGCAAAAGAGCGGUCUCCUUUCAUAUUGUACUUCAACCUUAAAGGCAAAACCUUCCCGUUCCACAAGAAUUUCAUCAUAGGCUCUUUUAGAUAAGUCAAUGUCCACCAAAAUUUGUCGCAUAGUAUCUGAAAGCCCUAUUUCAUGUCGAGGCAUCCAAAUCUAUCAUAGUACCGACAACACUCGCAAUUUCCUUCGAAGCUCGUUCCCACCAUUGAUCAUUCUAAUAUUUAUCAUUCUAAUGAUGGGUACUAUUUUUUUUUAGAUGUGUUAUUUGAACAAUCCUUUGGUUGACAACUUAUUUGACAACUUAGUUUUACAAAGAAAAAAUAGGUAUUAACACGAAAACCAAAACAAAGAUAAGUAAAACAUAAUGUGAAUACGAGAGAGAAAGUUGUCAAAAAAAUUGUCACAAAUUCAUUUUUACACAUAUCAUUUAUCUUUUUUUUCUUUUCUUAAGGAAGCUAUUUUUUAUUGUUGAUAAUGGUCGUUUGUUUGGAUAAGACUGAGAUAUUGAUUCAUGCAAUAUUGAACUGCUAUGUUUGGAUAAGACUGAGAUAUAUAUUCCCAUUUAAAAGUGUUUUGUUUAACCAACACAUUAGCUUAUCCACUGGAAUAACCUUCACUUUAAAAAAACCUUAAUUAUUCUAAUGGUUGCUGGAAUAUGGUAACCACUCUGGCUACACAAUCGCACAUAGAAAUUGGUAGAGGAAUUACUGGGGUUAUUUUCCAGGAACAUUUUCGUUAAUUACCAUUAAUUAUUCUUAUGGAAGAGUACAUUUUCUACAAAUUCUACUUUCGAAAAUGCCAAACAACAAACACAUGAUUUUUUAUUGGGUUAAUAAUAGUGUUUUAACCCCUGUAAUUUAGGUCAUUUUCUAUUUUACCCUCUGUAAAAGUUUUUUUUUUUGGAUUUCUUCCUUGUAAUUUGAAAUUUUUUGAUUUUGGACCUUCAUCAAUUUUGACCGUACAAAAUCGAAGAUAUGAGGGGUAAACUGAAAUUUGCUCAAAUUACAAUGAAGGUAAACCUAAAUUUGCUCAAAUUACAAGCGGUGAAAUUUUUCAUGAAGAUCCAAAACCAAAAUUCCAUAACUUGAACCAAACACCGGUUAAUGUCCAAGUAUCCUUUAAAUAAUAAUACAUUUAAAUAAUUUAUAACUCAUUUUUUACCAAGUUGUACUUUUCUUUGCAGACCAAACCAAACGUGUGGAAUAUUUAAGGGGAAACAAUAGCGAAAAUUGUACGCAAUGUGACGGAAAGAGACAGAAGAAAGCAAUGAUUUUUCCUUUAAGGGGUAAACGAAACUAUAAAUACCAAGUUUUACACAUCAAAAGUUUCAAUUUCAAAACAUCGUACUACAACAACAAUUGUUAAGGUUCGAUAUACUAUACUACAAACAACAUCGUACUUUUCAUCUUCUAAACAUACUCACGCAACCAACAUUGAAUUUUUCAGCCUUUCAUAACUUGCAUUGUGUUUGUUAUUAGAUUACAACAAAGGAAGGAACAAAUUCAUGAGUAGCGCUACACACAUUAUUACCCUUACAACAAGAUUUCAAUUUCAUGAUGUCUUGAACAAAAUAUCUCAAAUACUUCAAAAAGCACGAAAGGAUUUAUCUCCUGUGGUUCAAGACAUAAAGCAAUACAAUGAUCAUUUGGAUCACCCCAGAGAGGAAAUAAAUAGUCUAAUAGAAGAAAAUGAUGCAGGAGAAAGUGCAUGCAAAUGUUCUUCUGAGAAUGAUUCCUAUGUUGUUGAUGAGAACCAAUCUCUUAUUGUAAAUGAUGUUGAAGAAACACUUUAUAAGCCAAGAGAAAUUCUUGAGCUUCUCAACCACGAAAAUCGGCCUCGUGACUUGUGGCGAAAGAUAGGGAAAGAACUAGCACAAGGUCAUUCUCUUCUUGAUUCUAAUACCAAAUUACUUAUUCGCCUCCAAAAGAUCUUUGAUGUUUUGGAAGAUAAUCCUACAAUCAUGGAGUGCUUCAUGGACAUAGCCUUAUUUCCCGAAGACCAUAGAAUUCCUGUCGCUGCUCUCGUUGAUAUGUGGGCAGAGCUGUAUAGACUAGAUGACAACGGAAUACAAGCAAUGGAAAUCAUCAACAAAUUAGGCAUCAUGAAUUUGGCUAAUGUCAUAAUACCAAGGUACUACGACUAUUAUUAUUAUUAUUAUAUUUUCUUCUAGGCUACUUAAAUUGUUAAAUAUCUCACAUGAAUGAUACUCUACAUAAAUCCUGUCAAAUAAUUUUUUAUCUUUUAAGUAACUAAUUAACCUCUGCUCAUUUACCAGGAAAAAUGCAAGUGACACGGACGAUAACAACUACAAUAAUCACUUCAUCAUCCUUCAUGAUAUUCUAAGAGAACUUGGAAUUUACCAAAGCACCAAGGAACCAUUUGAGCAAAGAAAAAGACUGAUUAUUGACAUUAAUAAAAAUAAAAGUGGGCUCGCGGAGAAGCAGCAAGGCUUGAUGACCUGUAUAUUGUCAAAGUUUAUGAGAUUGUGUGUUAAACGGAAUCCUCAACAGCUCACUGCCCGUAUAUUGUCGGUAUCAGCUGGUUAGUAAUACUUAUACUCCCUUUUUCUAACUUUGACCAUCUAAAAAAUGCUAUUGAAAUUUUUUUGCAAUCUGUUAUUCAUUCCUUUUCCGCAAUUGAUCGCUUGAUUUUCACAUUUGCAGAUGAAACAUGUGCGUUCGAUUGGUCUCAAAUGCAACCAGCUCAGGUCGAGGUUCUGAUUUUAAAUAUUCAUACCAAGCAGUACUCAUUACCCGAGUGGAUUGCAAAAAUGAGUAAACUAAGAGUUCUGAUAAUCACAAACUACGGUUUCCAUCCUUCUAAACUGAACAACAUUGAGCUUCUCGGUUCUUUACAGAACCUGGAAAGAAUCAGACUAGAGCGAAUUUCGGUCCCUUCCUUCGGCACAUUGAAGAAUUUGAAAAAACUAUCUCUCUACAUGUGUAACACAAUACUGGCUUUUGAAAAGGGUAGCAUCCUAAUUUCAGAUGCAUUUGCAAACCUAGAAGAAUUGAACAUUGAUUACUGCAAAGAUUUGGUGGUAUUUCCAACUGGUAUCUGUGAUAUCAUCUCACUAAAGAAGCUCAAUGUUACUAAUUGCCACAAGCUUUUUUCACUUCCCCAAGAUAUUGGAAAAUUGGAGAAUUUGGAACUUCUAAGCCUCAGUUCAUGUACUGACUUGGAAGCUAUACCGACUUCCAUUGGAAAGCUGUUAAAUCUAAGACAUCUUGACAUUUCAAACUGCAUCAGCCUUUCAAGUUUACCUGAGGAAUUUGGUAAUCUUUGCAAUCUAAGAAAUCUGUACAUGGCAAGUUGUGCAGGUAUUGAAUUGCCAUUCUCAGUUUUCAAUCUUCAGAAUUUGAAGACGAUAACCUGCGAUGAAGAGACGGCUGCUACAUGGGAAGAUUUUCAGCAUAUGCUUCCCAAUAUGAAGAUAGAGGUUCUUCAUGUUGAUGUUAACUUAAAUUGGCUUCUUUGAAUGACUUUUGUAUAGCAUAUAAUUAAAAUUCUUUUGUAAUAUUUUGUAAUUUCUUUUGUAUAAAUACAUGAUUUGUAUUAGCUAUUCUCAAUCAAUAUAUUCAAUUUUUAAUUUUAACUACUCAUUCUAAUGAUUUAUUUACAAGAUAAUAAGCUGGUAGUAUGCUUCUCCAGUUCUAAAAAGUUUUUCGUAGUCCUUAGGUUCCUUUUUUUUUGUUCCUUGUUUCUGAGUUCUUCAGUCAUAGAUCAAAGUCGGCUAGAAGCAGUUGAUCCUCAAAAUUUUCCAAGCAUGGUCUUAUUUGCUUUCCAUUGAAUGGAUCAAAAUACAACGAAGAAGGUGCUGCUUUCAAAGAACAAUGUGAAGUUUGUUAAUGGAGAUAUUUGAAAAUUAAAGCGCACUUGUUUUAAUUAGUUCUGUAAGAUGUUUCAACGUUUAUAACGUUCCCUUAAAUGUUCCAACAUCACGAAAUAAACAGAAAUCAAAACAAGAAAAUAAAUGACAAGAAAGUAAAGAACACUGUGAGUUUGUUGACCCAGUUCGGUAACAAACUCACCUACUCUGGGGGCUACCACGUCAGGAAGGAAAUCAACUAGUGUAGUCCGUAUUCUAUAGGACUCAACAAACUCCUUGUUUACUCGUAUAUACUUCAACCUAGGAACUCCUAGAUCUGAGAUCCCAUCUCUAUCUUAUGUUCAGUCACAGCCCCUGUGACCUAUCAGACCUAAGCACAAACUCAAGGAUGAAGUUAUCUUUAAACACAACAACUAACACCUUGCUUACAAGGUUUGGUGUAGUACACAAAAGUAUCAAACUCAACACACAGUCCUAAACAUGUAUCACAGACGAUACGAGAAAGGCUCACAAUAAAGGUUCUAAACUUGCAUCAGCAGGAUACAAGAGUAGAGCACAUGUAGACUCAAAAUCUUAAAAAUCUAAACUUUUAGAAUGACGGCUUGAAUAGUUCAUUAGGUCUUGAAGUCUCACUUAUAUUAUACUGAAGCAGCUCGGGUCAAAUACUUUAGUUGGGCUUCAGAACAAAGCAGAUCGGUUCAGCUAAUCUGCAAAACAGAAUCAGAGACAAAUAUGUAAAGUCCUAAAAUGUCGCUAGGAUCGUCCAAAUCAAUAACAAAUUUUUCCUAAAAAAUAAAUACUACUUUAGGAAUAUUCCACGACUGAUUCUGUAAAGAUAUGCGCGUUGCUUGAUCAAUAAGAUAAGGAAAUAUUGUUUCCUUAAACAAUAAAGGGCGCGCGUACAAAGAGACAUGACCUCAGGCACACUGAACUGUGCCAGGAUGUUGGAACAUAAUAUCCAACAUCUUACAGAGAUGCCUAAAUACAUGUUGGAACAUUGGUUCCAACAACACAAAUAAUAUUUAUUUUAGCAAUAAUGCAGCCAAUACAAAUACUCAACAAUAUUUUAUUUUCUGCUACACAUGAUUAAACAUAGGUGUUAUUAACAAUAUUAUGGUAGAUGCAUUUUCUAAGUCACAACAUAUAGAUAAUGCCAUGCAUUUGGAAAAUAAGCAACGGAUAUCUCAGUUCAAUCUUAAGCAAGUUUAGCAUCUUAGUUGUGUGGUGAGUCAGAAACACACUAAUAUACAACCAGACACAGUGCCUUUUGGUGGGGCGAGUCUUCUAUUAAAAAACGAACAGCCACUUCAAGUAUUUCCGCUUCCAAAUUUGCGUAUGGAUAAUAGAUAUUGGUGUGUCACCUUUUUUCCUUAAAUAUUGAACUCUGCAUUGGACCCAUAAAGGUUAUAUAAGUUUUUAUUCCCUUAUUUUUCAACAAUCAACCAAAUAUAUGGUGAGUCUAUCUCUGUGAUUGAUUCCUUCAUGGAAAAUAGGAUGCGUAUAUUGUUGAGUGCAAUUUGAAAACAUAUGUCUUAUCAUAUUGAUUAAAUGAUGUGGUAAUACAUGAUUAGAUGCAAUGUAAUACAGUAUAACACAAUUAUACAGGAAUGGCGCAUACAAAUUAAACCUUACACCCUAUUCAUAGCCGUGCCUUGUCUUAGCUUUUCUGGUCUUAACGUGCAUUACAUGCAGGGCCGUUCAUGAGAAUUCGGAGGCUCGGCUUUGAGAAUGAAAAAUUCAUUAAAGAAAGAAGAAAAAAGGAACAUAAAAAUUAAGUAAUGGGUGUUGAACCCAUGACCUAGAUAGUGCAAACUCCCAUUCAUUCCGCUCAGCUAUAUUUGCUUAUCCAAUUUUUUGAUCACGCCGCUUCUAUAUAUUAUUUAUUUACAUGCAGCAUAUAUAAAAAAAUAAAAUAAAAAUUGGGCCUCCAAAAUUUGGAGGUUCAGCGCAGUAGAGCUGUUUGCACCCCCUCAAGGCCGGCCCUGAUUACAUGUACAACAUUGACGACUCUUUAAAUCUAUUAGUCAUUCUUUAACGUUUGUACAAAGUCAUAAGUCACUUUACAGCGUCAAAUAUUAUUGUCAAUUUGUGCAUCAUGUAUGAGAAUAAUUUCCCAACAUCUUGGAAAAGUACCACAAACUUGUUGAAUGUUAACUUUACUCUAAAUUUUAUACAUAUGUGCUUAACUUGUUCAAUGUUAAGUCUACAAACUUCAAGAGGACUUUAAAGUAGAAUUGCUAGGAAACAUAUUUGAAAGAGAAUAAAGGACAUUAACUGCCGUUUGGUUCAAGUUAUGAGAUAUAAAAAUCAUGUGUUUGGCGUUUGGCAUUUUCGAAAGUACUAUUUGCAGAAAAUUUACUCCUCCAUAAGAAUAAUUAAUGGUAAUUGACCAAAAUGUUCCUGGAAAAUAAUUAACUCUAGUAAUUUCUCUACCAAUUUCUAUGUGUGAUUGUAUAGCCAGAGUGGUUACCAUAUUCCAGCAACUAUUAGGUAGUUUGGCAGUAAAUCAUCAUCGCAGUCAACUAUUAUUAAUGAUGAUGAUAAGGUUUUUUAAAGUGAAGGUUAUUCCAGCGGAUAAGUAAUGUGUUGAUUAAACAAAACACUUUUUCUAAAUGGGAAUAUAUAUCUCAGUCUUAUCCAAACAAAGGAGUUCAAUAUUGCAUGAAUCAAUAUCUCAGUCUUAUCCAAAAAAAAAAACGAUCUUUAUCAACAAUAAAAAUAGCUUCCUUAAGAAAAGAAAAUUCAAUUAAUGAUCUUUCAUGGUAAUUAAUGUCUUACAAGUCUCGUACGCUUAGCUCAACUGACAAAGAUAAUGCAUAGUAUCAAGGUUUGGGGUUCGAAUCCUAAACACCAUAAAAAAAAAUAAUAUCCAUCAAACUAGAAGGGCAAUUUGAUAUAUAUUUAAGUUUUUAUUUUUAUUUUAUAAAAAUAUGAUAUAUUUGUCCCGUAAGCAUUCAAUCGUUAACUAGAAGGACAAUAUUAUAUAGAGGUUGAAAAACCGCGUACUCUUCACUUAUUCACAUUUAAAUGUGAGUCAUUUUUUCUUUUACAAAAAAUGUGUGAGUCCUAUCCAUAAGGUAGUUGACCAAUUUUUUAUAUAUAUAUUUUUGAGAGGAUAUAUUUAUAUUAAUUCAUCAUCAAGAUUCGAGUCAAAUUUUUAAUAUACUAUCAUCAAUUUUUUUAGGAUAUUAUGACCAAAUUAUAUAUAUAUAUAUAUAUAUAUAUAUAUAUUUUUUUUUUUUUUCUUCCAAAAAGCUAAAAUAAAAUAUAUUAAAAAUCCUCCUCAUUAUGUACCAGAUGUGUCUAAAGAUAAUUAAUAUAAAGAGUCAAAAUAAUAAAGAUGAUGAAAGUAAGAAUAACUAUUACAAAGUUGUGGUGUAUCAUAAACAAAGUGAAAAAUUAAAUUGUUGCGCAUGACACCUAAAAUCUGCAGGAACAACCGUAAACAUGUCCAACCAGCGAUGAACGAGAUUCUAAAUACUACAAAAAAAAAUGUCAAACUCCCAGUAAAGAUGAUUAAACAUUUCCUCUUUGCCGCAACCGCAUAAGCACUAAACCAAGUUGGACAAAAUUACUCCUCUCCGCACUAAAUUGUCCUUUGUAUGAAUUCUCUUGUUAAAUGUUCGCCAUACACACACUGAUUUACUUCAAACUACAUAUGAAUAAAUCUCAUUAGGAAGCUGAUCUGCACCCAUAAGAAUAUAUGAUAGACAUCUUUUACUGAGUAUUCUUCAAUAGGGUCCUGUUUCCAAAAUCAUUUGUCAUUAAUAUCAACCUGCAAAAUAAAUACCACCAAGCAGUUUAGUAAAAUCUACCACCGCGCGAACAACCUACUUCUCCACCGCCACCCCUCCUCGUCGACCUCCCAACCUGGCCUCCUCAUAUCAGCAACAGUAACAUUAGGUUCCACACUUAGCUCAAACAGACGCGAAAAUCCUAUCCCGCAUUACCCCACCAUCUAACCACAUAUCACUUCAAAAGGUAGAAUUUUCACCAUUUUCAACUCUACAACCCACCCAUCUCUAAAUCAACAUGUGUCACUGCCGCUCUCUCCCUCACAAAUAUCACACACAUUUUUCUACCACACCGAAAAUAAUUUACCCCUUCCAUUAACCCGGCCUCCCUCCAACCCGUAUUUCUCAAAAAUGCUAAAUUAAACUCCUUGAUCCUCCUGUCCUUAAAACCUCUAUACCCUCCUUACUAGAACACACCUUGUCCCAAUUUAUCUAGUGAAUUUUGCAAGCUUCCUCACCCCUUCCCCCCCACCCAUUUAAAAAGACAUUCAAUGAAAGAUAUGCUACAUGUGGGAGCUUUGAAGAAGGAAAGAAAAUAAACUAGUAAUGAUGACAAGAAAGAUUUGAUGAGCACAAGACAACUGACCAUGGAUAGGCUUUUACUCAUUUAUUACGCACAUUCUCAAUUAACCGAAUCCUAAAUAACAGACGCCUCGGGUCCUCACCAAUGUGAGGCCCUAAGUACACAAACGAAAUAUGACUAAUCUUAAAAUUAAAAACAACAUGAGCUUCUACAAACCAAAAAUCAAAAACAUUCACACCAACCAAUAUGCUUUUGCGAAAAUUCACCUUCAAACCUGAAACGAGUUAAACAGUAUCAAAGUUGCCUUUUUAAUGUCUGAAUAUUUCCCCAAUUCUUUUCUCCUAAGAUCAAACUUAUCAUCACCAAAACUGAAGGAAACAAGAGAGAGAAGCUCUUUUCUCUCUUCACCCUCUCCUUCACUUCCGACCUACCACCACCUCCACUCCGUCUCUCUCUCUCUUCUCCUUCAACAUCCAAACAUUACUACCCUCAUGUAGCUGCACGCGUCGGUGGUGCGAUUGGCGGAAGCUCCAUCGCGUCACCACCUCAACACCCCUUUUGGAUUGUUACUGCCGGUGAUUCCUCUGUCAACGAUAUGUUUUCGUUCUUGGAUCUGGGCUUUCCGUUUUUGGUGGUUUCAAACGGACGUGGUUGGCUGUUAACCACCGUCGUCGUCGUGUUUUAGUUGUUCUACCGUCGUGUUUUCUGUUGUAUUUUUUGGAUCUAUUUUAGUGGUUUCACUGUUGGUUUUGGUAAGACAUAUUUGUGUGGUGUGCUCCAUAAUCCGGAUCUGGUUUUUUAGUUGGGGUUUUGCUGUACAGAUCAGUGACAGUGUGCCGCUGGAUUUGUUGGUGGUGUUCGAUCAUGACUGCUCAGUUGCCUGCAGUUCCUUCACGAUUAAUCCUCCUUCGCAACUUCCGGAUCAUUGUCGUUGUAAGGAUCGUGGUGGUAUUGUGGUUGUCUUGCCGGUGGUUGUGGUGUGUGCCGGUCUAUUCAGAUUCAGUUUGGCUUUUUGCUUGUUUGGAUGCCAGACUCCCACUUUUUUCGAGAUUGCCGUGUUUUGGUGGUGCGUGUGGUGGUUAGUGGUGGUGGUUAUGGGUGUUUUGUGUUUGGAUUCUAGGCAUUUUUUGGGUGAUUGGUGUUAGGGUGGUGAUGUUUUAGAGGCUUUUAGACAUGUUUGUAGGGAAUGGUGGUGUCGUGCUGCUGCCUUUGGAGAUGUUCAAGUGGUGGUGAUGGAGGAUGAUUUUGUGGCUUGUUUUUUUGGUUUGUUUGUGUAUGUUGGUUCAAUUUGUGCUAUUGUUCCACCUUGUCUCUGUCUUACGAAUUUGUCAUCUGGAUAAUGAUGGGCUGAUCGCUUUUGCUUCGAGAUUAGAAGUUAGAGUCUAGCUGUCAAGUUGUUGGAUAAGUUGAGGUGUAUGCUCUGGUGGUUCGAGAGUUUAGGAGUCUGGUGGGCCGAUCACUUUUGAUUCGAGAUCAGGAGCCAACUUUUUGACUUAGGUCUUUUUAGGUUUAUUUUGGUGUCUUCUCCGAUUGACUAGAAGUUGAUUGGUGGUCGAAUCUGAACAUUUGAAACAACAAAUCAUUAUCUGGUGCUUAUUUGUUAGGGGUUUCAGCAUGUACGAUGGUGUUGAUGGUUUUCGCUGAUUGGUUUUGGUGUUGCUUUUGGGUUUGGAGAUUUGUUUUUAUUAGGGUUGAUGUUAGCCUUAGGUGGUAUUGUGUAUGUAUUGGUGUUUAUGUUGUACUUUUCUUUAGGUGUUCUGCCUAUAUACGGUACCUUUUGAUGUACUUUUGGUGUUAUACCGAUCUCUGUUCGUCUCGUGCGGAGAUCUGGUUUAUUAAUAAAUUUUGCUGUUUCAAAAAAAAAAAAAGACACACACAAACAUAAUGACUUAUUUUAUCAUAAUAACAAUAAAUUUUAAUUAUCAACUAUAAUAAUUUUUUUUAAGUAGUCUAGUGGCUAGAAAUUAAUCUUUUAUUGGGUGAAUAAAUGGGGUCUUCGAGGUUUAAACUCCAACGUCUGCAUAUAUUAUGCAGCGUCCCUACCAAUUGAGUUAAGUUCACGAGAACAAAUUAAAUUCCUUUCUAAAUUUCUAUAAUGAAAAUAUUAAAUUUUUCCUUAUAAUUCUUUAAAAUUAUGUAAAUUGGUCCUUAUAAAUUUUCUAAAAAUUGUAAAUUAAAUCCUUUAAAUUUAAAAAAAAUUUAAAUUGCUCCUCUUGUUUUAUAUCUUUAAAAAUUUGUAAAUUGGUCCUGAAAUUUUAAAAUAUUUAGAAUCCGUCCCUAUUUUUCAUAAAUUUUAUAAAAACAACAGAACAAAGUUUAACAAUGAAGAAUUGUUUUACUCCACCGAUACAAAAAUAAUUAGAAAUGAAAGAAAUUCAAUUAAAGCAUUUGAAUUGUCUAAAAUUUUCAUUUUUAGGUUAUGAUUCUGUAACUUAGGAACAACUGCAUGAGUUGAGCAAAGACUAUGUUAUGUCAUGAGUUGAGCAAAGACUAUGUUAUGUCAUGAGUUGAGCAAAGACUAUGUUGCCUAGUUCUAGGAACAAAACAUUGGAACCAUUGCCGGUGCCAUUGGAACCAUCGUUUCUCUUUGUAUCGAAGAAGCCUUGAACCAUUGGAGCCUUCCUCGAGUUGACUAAGCACUUGACAACUACAAGGACAAUAAUGAUGAAGGGUGAUCCUAUCUGCUUAUGUCACUCCUUCUUGUAAAGAACCCAACAAAUACUAGACAUGGUCUCUAUAUUAAGCUAUCAUGGCCGAUCGUCAAAGUGGAGGAGAAACAACGUUAGUCUCAUUUGGUCAAAGCAUUUAGUACUAAACCACAAGAUGUUAGAGUGUUAUUGGAUCUAGAUUACAAGGGAGCUUAAAAAGACUUUAUGAUUAAAAAAAAAAAAAUCAUCUGGUAUUUAAUUAAAACUUUUAUAAAAUUGUUGGCCUGUAUUUCUAAGGAUGUGUUUGGUUUGGAAGAGAAGUUGAGAAGAGAGAAUUAGGUAAGAGAGAGUAUUAAAAGAGAGAAAAAGAUGACAAAUAUAGUAUAUUUGAAUUAUUGUUUGGUAUAAAAAGAAAGAGAAAAGAGAGAAGUAUAAUUGUAUUUUAAAUUGACAAUAGUAUCCUUUAACUCGUAAAAGAUGUUUGAAUUACAACUCUCUCCCCCGUCUUAUGUUAAAAUGUACACUCCCCUCUUAUUCAAAAUAUAUUAAAAACAUUUUCACUCCCCUCCCUUAAGAGAAACUUGAAUUGCAUUCUCCUCCCCUCUUAUGUUAAAAUCUACACUUUACUCCCUCAAUUUUUUUUUUUUUUUUUUUUUUUAUAUCUAAUAAUCUAACACACUUCCAAAAAAAUAGCAUUGCGCGUCUAUUUUAAUAUAAUAAAAUUAAAAUAUGUGAAAAAUUACUAAAGACAAUAAAGCAUGGUUAUUUAAAGGUUAAUUUUAUACUCUAAAUUAUAAAAUCAAUACCAAAAUAUUUAAAUUUAAUUAUCAUUGACAUUUAAAUUAUAAAGAAAUGAAUUAAUUUUUCUUAAAUGGUGGUUCAAAUUAAUAUAUAUCAUAAAAAUAUUUAUUUAUGUUAAAAUUGAUUAAAGUGUAGUGCAUAUUUAAUUAUUAAGGGAGGUGGUUGUAAUUCAAUCAUUUUAUAAAGGAGGGGGUAUAAAUUUUAUUUUUUAAGGGAGAGGAAUGUAUAUUUUAAUACAAGAGAGGAGAGGAGUGUAAUUCAAGCAUCUUUGAGGGGAUGUGAGUGUAAUGUACUCUUUAAUUUUUGUCUUUUAUGAGGCUUAUAAUGGAAAACCAUGGGCCGGAGUUCUUUCUCCACUCUUUUGCUCCAUCAACGGAGAAAUUGAUUUUUAUGUGGAACCCAUCUACUUUUAGCCUUUCUCUCUUGUAUUUUGCUCUUGCUCCAAACACAAUGGCUUUACUCUCUCCCCCCUAUUUUCCUCUCACAUUGCUCUUUCCUCUAUCUCUCUUGUUCCAAACACACCAUAAGUGUUUGUUUUCGACAUGAUAUAGUAUUUGUCGAAAGAAGUUUUUCUUCAGAUAUAGACUUAAUAAAUGCAUUCGACAAGGUUUGAUGAAAAUUAACAUUUUCAAGUCUUUUGAGUUCGACUAGAAGGAAUCCAAAUACUGUUUGAAGAGGCAAGAUCAAAGGUCCAGGCACGUGGAAAGUAAAUCAAGUCUGUCGAAAACAUAUGGUUUAGGACCAUUGGUUUGUUAGUUAUUUUUCUUAUGUAUAGCUUUUCAUAACAAAAAAGGGUCAUGAAUUAUUAUCAGAGUUCUCAUACUCGAAUCAUCCAGCAUAGAGAGAAAAGAGUAACACAAAAUGUAUGUAACAUGAGUUUUUAGUUGUAUAUUCUGUGGAGUGGAUUUCUUUUUAGAGUUUUUAGUUAAACAUAAAAAUACAACACUGAUUCAAUAAUCUCACAUUUUGAUUAGAAUAAGGUAACUUGUGAGACUUUGAGACUCUCUGCAAUUUAUUUUAGUUGUCUCUCUAAAGAUACCAUAUGCAUUGGCUCUCAUUAUUAUUUUUAUUUCCUUUCAGUUUUUUCUUAUUCUAUUUUGACAUUUUUGACGUUUAAAUCAUAUCCUCUCAUUUUAUUUCACGGGAAAUGUUAAACAGUUCCCUUAUAACAUUUGUUAAAGAAACAAAACUAGAAAUUUUAUUUAAAAAAUGGUGUAUUCAACCUAAGUCAUCUUUUGAAAAGUUUAAAAUUUAAGGUUAAUUAAGUAAAUGGUCUCUAUAAAUAUUCAUAAUUUUAUUUUUAGUCCUUAUAAAAUAAAAUCGCACUUUUUAGUCCUUGUAAAAAAUUUAUUCAACAUUUUUUGUCCCUGUAAAAUUUUCCAUCAACAUUUUUAGUCCUUAUAAAAAUUUUACGUCCGCAUUUUCGAUCCUUAAAAUGUUAAAGAAAAAUGUCACAGAAACUAAAAAGUGUGAUUUUAUUUUGUAGGGGACUAAAAACAAAAUUCUGAAUAUUUAUAAGAACCGUUUACUUAAUUAAUCUUAAAAUUUAUAAUUUUCAAUGCAAAGUUUACAUUUUUUGUAUGCUUAACUAGUAAGUAUCUUAGACACUUGUUAGCAUCACAUUUAUUUUAUUUUGAUGUUUUUUUUUUUUUUUCCGGUUCUCUUCUUAUGUAUUGUUUUGUCCAAGUUCAAUGUUUUAUGUUCAACGAUUUUUACAUUCACUUCCUCAAAAAAAUAAAAUUACAUUCACAUUGCUCUCGUUUUAUUGUCGACGCCUAUAUAUGGUGGAAAUGGCUUGGUAUUAGAAUAAAAAAAAAUGGCUUUGGUGACUAAUGUUACACGUCAACAUAAAUAAACUCAAUUUUUAAUGGCUGAAAGUUACCAAGUUCUUUUCUUUCAGCCCAAGCAAAGCAACGUGUUACCGUGUCACGCAAUGCGGCGGAAAGAGACAAGAAGAAAACAAAAGAUAAUUCUCUUCCUGGCCACUACUAUAUAAAUACAUUACAUGCAUGUUAUGUUAGUUUCAAUUUCAUAUCAUCGUACUACAGCAAUACUUCUGAGUUUCAAUUUCACUUCUUGCAUAGCUAAAGAACACGGACAGGCAAAAACAUAAUCACCAAAUCAAAGGUUCGAUAUAUUGUACUGUGGAAAUUAUUGUUCUAUUUGACUUUUUUUCUUUUCUUUUGAAAGAGUUCUAUAUAUUUGGGGAAAUUUACGAAGUGUAUUAUGACAAGUUUAUAUGCUAAGCCAUGUUUUCAGCAAAUUCGAUAAACUCUUAUGAAAACAUAUCAUAUACAGGUUGCCUUAAGCAUGGACGGAAGAGGCGAGUGCCCAUGACAUUGUUUUGAUAAGAGCACCAAUAUUAUUUUUGUUUUAUUUAAUAGUUAACAAUAUAUACGUAUAUUAUUUUAAUUCACUUUGAUUAAUUUUAUUGAAAAUAUUUUUAUAAAAACAUUGAUUAUGAAUAAGGGGUUGUAUUGGAUUUUUUUUUUUGAAGUUGGAUUUUUUUUGAAGAAAUCAAAAUUAUAUAUAACAAAAAAAAUUGGCUACCUUUCCGGCACAAGGUUUAUCAAAGAAAGGACAAUUUUUAUUUAAAAAAGUCUUAAGGAUUUUAAAAGACUCUGCAGAAUUUUAAUGACUUUGAUGGUUUUAAAAGACUAUCAAGAUUUACAAUUUGAAUUUCAAUGAAUUUAACUCAUGGUCACCUUAACUCAUAAGAUUUUAAAGAAUUUGAAAUGAUUUUAUGGAUUUCAAAUUUUUUUACGAAUUUUAAUUAAGCACUCAUUGCAAAAAUAAUGAUCAUAACACACUCUAUUUUACAAUAUUCUCAAUAGAGACUCUUUUAUUAAUAAAGAUAUUUUAAUAAUUAAAAUGACACAACUUUAUUGAUUCGCUAAGAACAUAAAUAAUCUUAAGAUUGUCCUGAUAAGUGAUAAUAUCAUCAAUUAUAGAGUAAAAUUAUACUCCCCUCCCCUUAAUGUUGCUUGAAUUACACUUCACUCCUCUCUUAUGUUAAAAUAUACAUUACCCUCUCAUCUUAUUCAAAACAUAUUAGAAAAUAUCUCACUCCUCUCCCCUAAGAGAAACAUGAAUUACAUUCUCCGCCCCUCUUAUGUUAAAAUCUACACUUUACUCCCUCAUUAUAUAUUUUUUAUUUCUAAUAAUAUUGCAAAUUAAUAAUAAUCUAACACACUUCGAAAAAAUAUAGUAUUGCAGGUCUAUUUUAAUAUAAUCAAAAUUUGAAUACAUAUUUUUUCUAUUUUUUAUUCAAAAUUUCAUUAACAUAAAGUUUUAACCCCUAUUAUAAAAUAUGAAACAACCCAAAAUAAAAUUAAAAUAUAUAAAAAAUUCCUAAAGACAAUAAAUUAUGGUUAUUUAAAAGUUGGUUUUAUGCUCUAAAUUAUAAAAUUAAUAGCAAAAUAUUUAAAUUUACUUAUCAUUGACAUUUAAAUUAUACAUAAAUGAAUUUAUUUUUCUUAAAUGGUGGUUCAAAAUUAGUAUAUAUCAUAAAAAUAUUUAUUUAUGUUAAAAUAGAUUAAAGUGUAGUGUAUAUUUAUUUAUUAAGGGAUGGAGUUGUAAUUCAAGCAUCUUACAUGGAGAGGAGUAUAAAUUUUAAUUUUCAAGGGAGGAGAUUGUAUAUUUUAACAUAAGAGGGAGUGUGUGUAAUUUAAACAUCUUUUAAGGGGAAGGAGUGUAAUUUACUCUAACUUAUAUUCAAAAGAGAUUGCCUUUAUUUUAUCUUUUACUUCCGGAGUAAUUUUUACGUAAAACACUUAUUUGAUAUGUAUUUAUGUUAUGUUAUGUUAUGAACGCUUAUGCAACCAUGAGUUUUUGUGCCGUUCAUAACUUGUUUUCCUUGUUUGUUUGAAUCAGAGGAAGGAAUCAAAUUCAUGAGUAGCGCCACGACACAUAUUAUUACCCUUACAACAAGAUUUAAUGAUGUCUUGAACAAAAUAUCUGAAAUAGUUGAAACAGCACGAAAGAACCAAAGUUCAAGGCUAUUGUUUAGGUUAAUCUUAAAGGAUUUAUCUCCCGUUGUACAAGAUAUAAAGCAUUACAAUGAACACUUGGAUCAACCCAGAGAAGAAAUAAAUAGUUUGAUAGAAGAAAGUGCAUGCAAAUCUUCUUUUGAGAAUGAUUCCUACGUUGUUGAUGAGAACCAAUCUCUUAUUGUAAAUGAUGUCGAAGAGACACUUUACAAGGCCAGAGAAAUUCUUGAGCUUCUCAACCACGAAAAUCCAAAAUUCACUGUUGGGUUGGAUAUACCAUUUAGCAAGUUGAAAAUGGAGCUUCUGAGGGGUGGUAGCUCCACACUUGUGUUGACUGGUUUAGGAGGAUUGGGGAAAACCACUCUGGCUACAAAGCUUUGUUGGGAUGAAGAAGUUAAUGGUAAGUCAUAAAUCCUUUUUGCCUUAUCUCAUGCAUGUUUGGAUUAGCAGUGUGUUAGACAGAAUCAUGAAAACUUGAAAGAAAAAAUUACGCUGCCACCAUAAUUUUGCCAAAUUCAAUUUGAUUCUAAACAUGAACUUAUACAUGAAUUAUAUAUAUCAUUGCCUUAGAUGGUACUCAAUAAUAUAUGGAUGUUUUUUUAGUAAAGAAUGGAUGGAAAUAAGGACAUAAGAAUUUUUUCAUAUAAAUAUUUCUUAUGUGUAGAGCAGCUUAAAGCGGUAUUCAUGCUCGCUGAUUGUAGAUAGUUUGUCCUUAGAGAAUAUUAUGUUUAGGAGCAGUUCAUUAUUUUCCAAAUUACAUCAUAGGAAAACAUUGUAGGCAUCUUCUAUCCUCUGCAAAUGUUGAUUUAACAUAUUAAAGAAGCAUUUUUCUUUGAAUUAGAUUAAUUAACUUUCUUUUCUGUCAAGUGUUCAUUUAGUUGAGCAUAUUAAAUGUAAAAGACAUUAACUUUUUUUGUCUUACAAUCUGUCUUUGGUUUUACUAGGUAAAUUCAAGGAAAACAUUAUAUUUGUCACCUUCUCAAAAACACCCAUGCUGAAGACUAUUGUAGAGAGAAUACAUCAACAUUGUGGAUAUUCAGUGCCUGAGUUUCAAAGUGAUGAAGAUGCAGUCAAUAAGUUAGGACUUUUGUUGAAGAAAGUUGAGGGAAGUCCACUAUUGUUGGUUCUGGAUGAUGUUUGGCCAAGCUCAGAAUCUCUUGUUGAGAAACUUCAAUUCCAGAUGACAGGUUUCAAAAUUCUGGUGACUUCAAGGGUUGCAUUUCCGAGGUUUAGCACAACAUGUAUCUUAAAACCUCUUGCUCAUGAAGACGCAGUAACGCUUUUCCAUCACUAUGCUCAAAUGGAAAAAAACAGUUCAGAUAUUAUCGACAAAAAUCUUGUAGAAAAGGUACUUGUUCUUACUUUCUUACAUAUGAGCGUUAUCUAUUAUGUAGCAUCGACACACUUCAGAUUGAAGUCACAUAGAAAGACGCCUAGUUAUAAUCAUUUGAUUACUGACCAUACUCGCUUGCAAUGAAUUGCAGGUCGUUAGAAGUUGCAAUGGUUUACCGCUUACCAUUAAAGUAAUUGCUACAUCACUCAAAAAUCGGCCUCAUGACUUGUGGCAUAAGAUAGUGAAGGAACUAUCACAAGGUCAUUCAAUUCUUGAUUCUAAUACCGAAUUACUUACUCGCCUCCAAAAGAUCUUCGAUGUUUUGGAAGAUAAUCCAAAAAUCAUGGAGUGCUUCAUGGACCUAGCCUUAUUUCCCGAAGACCAUAGAAUUCCUGUCGCUGCUCUCGUUGAUAUGUGGGCAGAGCUGUAUAAACUAGAUGACAACGGAAUACAAGCAAUGGAAAUCAUCAACAAAUUAGGCAUCAUGAAUUUGGCUAAUGUCAUAAUACCAAGGUACUACGACUAUUAUUAUUAUUAUUAUAUUUUCUUCUAGGCUACUUAAAUUGUUAAAUAUCUCACAUGAAUGAUACUCUACAUAAAUCCUGUCAAAUAAUUUUUUAUCUUUUAAGUAACUAAUUAACCUCUGCUCAUUUACCAGGAAAAAUGCAAGUGACACGGACAAUAACAACUACAAUAAUCACUUCAUCAUCCUUCAUGAUAUUCUAAGAGAACUUGGAAUUUACCAAAG
rnacentral:lncRNA from 1 species